rnacentral:rRNA from 1 species
UACGGAGGGGGCUAGCGUUGUUCGGAAUUACUGGGCGUAAAGCGCACGUAGGCGGCUUUGUAAGUUAGAGGUGAAAGCCCGGGGCUCAACUCCGGAAUUGCCUUUAAGACUGCAUCGCUAGAAUUGUGGAGAGGUAAGUGGAAUUCCGAGUGUAGAGGUGAAAUUCGUAGAUAUUCGGAAGAACACCAGUGGCGAAGGCGACUCACUGGCCCGUUACCGACGCUCAGGCGCGACAGCGUGGGGAGCAAACAGG